rnacentral:rRNA from 1 species
UAGCCGGUACUCGCGAUCUCUAGAUAAGAGUUUGAUCAUGGCUCAGNUUGAACGCUGGCGGCAGGCUUAACUCAUGCAAGUCGAGCGGGGAAAGGUAGCUUGCUACCUGACCUAGCGGCGGACGGGUGAGUAAUGCUUAGGAAUCUGCCUAUUAGUGGGGGACAACAUCUCGAAAGGGAUGCUAAUACCGCAUACGUCCUACGGGAGAAAGCAGGAGACCUUCGGGCCUUGCGCUAAUAGAUGAGCCUAAGUCAGAUUAGCUAGUU